UAGUAUUCAACCCGCAGUCCUUUCUUAAGUGAGAAAACGUUUCGUUUAAACAUUUUACAAAUAAAUCCUUAUAGUUUACCGUAUUCAACCCACGGUCCUUUCUAAAUUGAAAAAAAGCACGCCAGAAAACACACACGAGAACGGGCUCUCCUCUCCCUCGCCUCCCGAUCCCAACCGCCAGGCGCUCGAUCUGGUGCCGCGCCGGCCAUCUGGGCGCGGCGUCGAUGGAUCUGGCGGCGGGUGCGGCAUCUUGCUCCGCUGGCGACGGUGUCCUGCUGAUGCAAAGAGACCAGGGCGUGAGGAAGAGAGGAAGAAAGGAGAAGGGGCACAAGGUGAGGGAGGCGGUCGCCGGCGGCGGCGGCUCCGGUGACCGGCUGGAGGGAAGGGAGAGGAACUCCUGUUGAGGCGGCGCGGCUUGGUGCACGCUGGUUUCUCCGGAUCGACCCCCUACUCAGAUCUGCACGCCCCUGAUGAUUGGAGGUGUGCCUUUCACAUGUUCGUUGAGUUGCAGCAACAAGGACAGAUGGCCAUCUUCACAGGUUAUGCCCCUUACUGUAAUUUGCAUUCAGUUAUGUGCAGUAAUAAUGCCAUAUUUGUUAGCCUGCUAGCUGUUUCCAGAUUUUUUUAGACAUGAUUGACUGCUUCUACACAAAAGGAGUUUGUCGAAAAUAAGAGCAAUCCCAUUGUUGCUACAGAGCCCGAAGAUUCUUUGCCUUUCUUUGAACUGUUUGAGUUUUUUCUUUCAUAUGGCUACAAUUAUUUGAUUGGUCCAUGUAGAUUUAGGCAACAUGAGAUGAGCCGAUGAUAUAUAUUGUAAUAUACGAUGUCUAUUGCUACAAGUGUUGAUGUCUUGGUGAUGGCAGGUUUUGCAAGUAAUUGAAAUGCUUUUUGAGUAGAGGAUAAUUAGAGAUAUAAUGUUCUACCUGAUCUUGAGGUAAUGAUUAUUGAUAGCUAAUGACAUGAGGGAGAGGGGGACAAGCCCCUUUAGCUACUGCAAUGUGGUUGUGCAUACAAAUGUGCUACUCAUAUUCCACUGUUAGACGAGCUAGGCGCGAGAAGCAGGUUCAGAAUUCAGCUCCAUUUGAUUUACAUUUAGAUCAUCUUGCUGCAACACCAUCACUUUUCUUGAUAGCAAACAACAAUUUUUAGUAAUCAUUUAUAGCUUUUCUUUGGUUUGUUUAUUCUAUUAUACCAUAGAUAUCAUGAGAAACUGUUAAUCGCUUAAGGAGGGUGUUCUGUUCACUCAAAAUCAACUGCCUAAUGGUCUGAUUAGUUUAUGUAUGUGAAAAUUUAUUUUAAUAAUUAUAGUUGCAAUUUCCAGUCAAGGCAUAUGUUCUUUUAUACUUUUAUAGUGAGUCUACAAUAGGUUGAAUAGAUUCGAUUUCUAUUUCCUUUCCUUGUCGUCGUCCACUUAGGUUAUAAGGGGAGCCAGAGAGGUGAGGGAGGUGACCAAAGCGGCAGCGGCCUUGGGGUGCCGAAGAAGAGAGCGUAGGAGGAUGGAAAGGGGCUCUUAUACGACGGCUGGAAGAGAACUAUGCUCUCCUAAACCUGAAUGGGCCAAAAGUGACAAGACAGACAGAUCUGGCAGUCAAUUAUUCUUCAGUUUCGGUUGUGAUGUUUCAACAUGAGUUCAGAGCGUUAAUGCUUUGCUGAUGCGAGGAGGUGAAGUUGUAUGCUACCAGAGUGCAGAUAUUUCUUGGUAUGUUUGCUUUCAAGAAAAGAUGGAUGUGUGUUGUGACUGUGACAGAUGGUUCUACUGGAUAUGUUGUUGGGUUUAUAACAAGAAGCAUUGG